rnacentral:rRNA from 1 species
CAGCCGCCACGGUAAUACGAAGGGGGCUAGCGUUGCUCGGAAUGACUGGGCGUAAAGGGCGCGUAGGCGGUUUAUACAGUCAGAUGUGAAAUUCCUGGGCUCAACCUGGGGACUGCAUUUGAUACGUAUGGACUUGAGUGGAGAAGAGGGUUGUGGAAUUUCCAGUGUAGAGGUGAAAUUCGUAGAUAUUGGAAAGAACACCGGUGGCGAAGGCGGCAACCUGGUCUUUAACUGACGCUGAGGCGCGAAAGCGUGGGGAGCAAACAGGAUUAGAUACCCCUGUAGUCCCUGUCUCUUAUAC